rnacentral:RNase_P_RNA from 1 species
UCGCUGAUGCGUGGAAACGCGCGUUAGAGGAAAGUCCGAACACCACACGGCAGCAUGCCGCGUAAAACACGCGGAGGUUGCGCACGUAAGCGCGCGAUCAUGGAAAGUGUCGCAGAAAAUACACCGCCCAGCUCUUUGCUCGCAAAGAGCUGAGUAAGGUUGAAAAGGCGAGGUAAGAGCUCACCGCGCGCGAAGCGAUUCGCGCGGCAGGAAAAACCCCAUGCGGUGCAAGACAGAACAGAGGGAGGGCAGCCGGUCCGAUUCCUCGGGUAUCGUCGCAUCACGGGCGACUGUAGCGGCGGUCUAUGA